GAUGAACGCUAGCGGCAGGCUUAACACAUGCAAGUCGAGGGGUAUUGGUUUUCGGACCAAGAGACCGGCGCACGGGUGCGUAACGCGUAUGCAAUCUACCUUUUGCAGAGGGAUAGCCCCAGAGAAAUUUGGAUUAAUACCUCAUAGUAUAGUACUUUGGCAUCAAGGAACUAUUAAAGUCACAACGGCAAAGAUGAGCAUGCGUCCCAUUAGCUAGUUGGUAAGGUAACGGCUUACCAAGGCUACGAUGGGUAGGGGUCCUGAGAGGGAGAUCCCCCACACUGGUACUGAGACACGGGACCAGACUCCUACGGGAGGCAGCAGUGAGGAAUAUUGGACAAUGGGCGCAAGCCUGAUCCAGCCAUGCCGCGUGCAGGAUGACGGUCCUAUGGAUUGUAAACUGCUUUUAUACAGGAAGAAACACUCCGACGUGUCGGAGCUUGACGGUACUGUAAGAAUAAGGA
rnacentral:rRNA from 1 species